AACGAACGCUGGCGGCAUGCCUAACACAUGCAAGUCGAACGAGACCUUCGGGUCUAGUGGCGCACGGGUGCGUAACGCGUCGGAACCUGCCCUUAGGUUCGGAAUAACUCCCCGAAAGGGGUGCUAAUACCGGAUAAUGUCUUCGGACCAAAGAUUUAUCGCCUUUGGAUGGGCCCGCGUUGGAUUAGCUAGUUGGUAGGGUAAAAGCCUACCAAGGCGCCGAUCCAUAGCUGGUCUGAGAGGAUGAUCAGCCACACUGGGACUGAGACACGGCCCAGACUCCUACGGGAGGCAGGAGUGGGGAAUAUUGGACAACGGGCGAAAGCCUGAUCCAGCAAUGCCGCGUGAGUGAUGAAGGCCUUAGGGUUGUAAAGCUCUUUUACCCGGGAUGAUAAUGACAGUACCGGGAGAAUAAGCUCCGGCUAACUCCGUG
rnacentral:rRNA from 1 species